rnacentral:sRNA from 1 species
CGCGAUCUUGGCUCCAAGAGGUGAGUUGUUUGCCAGAGACAACAUGUAGGAACUAAUUCUUAAGGACCAGGAGUGACAGUCUUGGCGACUGUCUGAGUCUUAGUGACAUUCUGACGGUCAGAGACGGUAGAUAUAUAUAUGGUGUAUCUUUGCCUGCUACGCAAGGGGAUAUCACUCUAGUAUUGAGCGGACUGUGACGUUGGGUUCCAGGAUCCGUGCAGAGACUAGAGAGAGAGAGAGAAAGAGAGAGAGACAAGAGAAAUGGA